GACGAACGCUGGCGGCGUGCUUAACACAUGCAAGUCGAACGGAAAGGCCCGGCGUUUGUGGGGUUCUCGAGUGGCGAACAGGUGAGUAACACGCGAGUAACCUGCCCUUGACUGUGGGAUAACUUCUGGAAACUGGGGCUAAUAUCGCGGAGGAUCUCCUGCUGCGUGGGGGUGGUUGGAGAAUGUCGGCGGUUGGGGCUGGUCUCGCGGCUUAUGAGCUUGUUUGGGGGGUAGUGGCUUCCGAAGGCUUUGACGGGUAGCCGGCCUGAGAGGGUGACCGGCCACAUUGGGACUGAGGUACGGCCCAGAAUCCUACGGGACGCAGCAGUGGGGAAUAUUGCACAAUGGGCGGAAGCCUGAUGUAGCAACCCCGCGUGCGUGAUGACGGCUUUCGAGUUGUAAACAGCUUUCGAAUGUGACGAAGAGUGAGUGACGGUAAUGGGUCAAGAAGCCCCGGCUAACUACGUG
rnacentral:rRNA from 1 species